UACGUAUGGGGCGAGCGUUGUUCGGAGUUAUUGGGCGUAAAGGGCGUGUAGGCGGCUCGGCAAGUCUGGUGUGAAAGCGCAGGGCUCAACCCUGCGUAGGCGCUGGAAACUGUCGGGCUUGAGUUUCGGGGGGGAAGCUGGAAUUCCUGGUGUAGGAGUGAAAUCUGUAGAUAUCAGGAGGAACACCGGUGGCGAAGGCGAGCUUCUACUCGUGAACUGACGCUGAGGCGCGAAAGCGUGGGGAGCAAACAGG
rnacentral:rRNA from 1 species